UACGUAUGGAGCAAGCGUUAUCCGGAUUUACUGGGUGUAAAGGGAGCGUAGACGGGCACGCAAGUUAGUUGUGAAAUCCCUUGGCUUAACUGAGGAACUGCAACUAAAACUGCGAGUCUUGAGUGCAGGAGAGGUAAGUGGAAUUCCUAGUGUAGCGGUGAAAUGCGUAGAUAUUAGGAGGAACACCAGUGGCGAAGGCGACUUACUGGACUGUAACUGACGUUGAGGCACGAAAGUGUGGGGAGCAAACAGG
rnacentral:rRNA from 1 species